AGCCGAAUCUAUCGAUAGUAUCGCAUGGGAGGCGCUCCUAGUUCCAUCUCUAAUGUGCGUUGGGUUAUUUAUUUUUUUCUUGUGAUUUGUUUAUUGAGUGAGACCAAUACGAUGCGAUUUUGAUGCGCGAAUAGAAUGUAUUUCGUGGCACGAUGCUAUCAAUUUCAUAUGGAAAACACAAUUGUUUCCCAAUAGGAAAAGUUUGCAUCCUGUUUUCACACGCCAAACGCUCGACGUGUGUGUGUGUAUAUAUGUGUGGGGUGUAAGGUGCAUUUGUGUGUGUGCGUGAGAGGGGGAGGAUUCGUAAAAGUGUUUUUCUCGUUUUCCUGUAACUUAUCCCAAACAUGCAUGUAACAUCACUUGCAAAAGCCCAAAAAGCAUCUAUGAAAAUUCGGAGAAAUCCACUUUGCUUGGCUGUUGUGCUUGUGUGAGUGUGUUGUGUGUGCGAACGCGAAAGAGGGAGUGAGCAAGAGGCAUUUCUUUUGUUGAUACACCGCGCCGUACAAGUUCGGAGUAAAAAGCGAUCGGCAAAAACAAGAAAUCCCAACACAAAGUGGCACAGCUACCACAAAUAAAUAAAAACAUAAAUAAAAGUGCGCCCGCCCAAAAGUAGAAGAAA